GUGGGGAAUCUUGCGCAAUGGGUGAAAGCCUGACGCAGCCAUGCCGCGUGGAUGAUGAAGGUCUUAGGAUUGUAAAAUCCUUUCACCGGUGAAGAUAAUGACUGUAGCCGGAGAAGAAGCCCCGGCUAACUUCGUGCCAGCAGCCGCGGUAAUACGAAGGGGGCUAGCGUUGCUCGGAAUUACUGGGCGUAAAGGGAGCGUAGGCGGACAUUUAAGUCAGGGGUGAAAUCCCGAGGCUCAACCUCGGAACUGCCUUUGAUACUGGGUGUCUUGAGUGUGAGAGAGGUGAGUGGAACUCCGAGUGUAGAGGUGAAAUUCGUAGAUAUUCGGAAGAACACCAGUGGCGAAGGCGACUCACUGGCUCAUUACUGACGCUGAGGCUCGAAAGCGUGGGGAGCAAACAGGAUUAGAUACCCGUGUAGUCC
rnacentral:rRNA from 1 species